GACGAACGCUGGCGGCGUGCCUAACACAUGCAAGUCGAACGGGACCAGAUGUCAGACAGCGGACAUCAGAAGACAGAUUACAGAUGGCAGAAUACAGAUUCAGAAGAGGGCGUGGAGGAAACCAAGCCUAGAUUCUAAUAUCCUAAGUCUGAGCAUUAGUAUCUGAACUCUGGUAUCUGGCGUCUGAUGUCUGGUCUAGUGGCGGACGGGUGAGUAACGCGUGAGCAACCUGCCUUACAGAGGGGGAUAACAUUCGGAAACAAAUGCUAAUACCGCAUAACAUAUAUUUACGGCAUCGUAGAUAUAUCAAAGGAGCAAUCCGCUGUAAGAUGGGCUCGCGUCCGAUUAGAUAGUUGGUGAGGUAAUGGCUCACCAAGUCUGCGAUCGGUAGCCGAACUGAGAGGUUGAUCGGCCACAUUGGGACUGAGACACGGCCCAGACUCCUACGGGAGGCAGCA
rnacentral:rRNA from 1 species